rnacentral:tRNA from 1 species
GGGGGAGUAGCUGAUGUGGUCUUAGCGACUGGUUGAAGCCCAGUAGAUGAGGGUUCGAUUCCUUCCUCCCCCACCA